rnacentral:rRNA from 1 species
UACGGAGGAUGCGAGCGUUAUCCGGAUUCAUUGGGUUUAAAGGGUACGUAGGUGGCCCGGUAAGUCAGUGGUGAAAACCUGCCGCUUAACGGUAGGCGUGCCAUUGAUACUGUCGGGCUUGAGUGCAGUUGAGGCAGGCGGAAUGUGUAGUGUAGCGGUGAAAUGCAUAGAUAUUACACAGAACUCCGAUUGCGAAGGCAGCUUGCUAAAGUGCAACUGACGCUGAUGUACGAAAGCGUGGGUAGCGAAC